AGCAGAACAGAAGGUGGUCUGACAAAGAAGCGUAUUCGUCACUCCACCAUUGCGGCCGUUACCAUCACCGCCUCCCCACCCACGGAUACUUGAGCGCAUUACACAAGCUCAGCGCACCCUCUCUCUCUCUCUCGACACACACUGACACACACACACACACACACAUUCUUCUUCGGUUCACCUACUAUCCGGCGCGCUCGUGCGUGCAGCCCUGUGCCGGCUUCCGCUUUCCUGUGCUUAUUCUUUCGAGGACGCAGGGUGGCGUGUUUUCGCUACCCUUUUCGCUUCUCUCAAUCCUUUUAAUCCGUCUUCGCCCUUCCACCACUCCUGCGUAUCUCGCUGUUCCCUCCCGCAAGGGCCACCAACACCACCACCACCAUCAUCAUCCCCGCAUUUUUCUCGGCGUCGUCCGUGGCACCAGUGCUCCCUUUUCCCCUCCUCCGUCCCCUCCCCCCGCUCCCCACUCCUUCCCGUUGCUUCCCUCUCACAAGUCUGCAUGUGAGCUUGUGUGUGUAUGUGUGUGUGAGGGCGAAGAGGGUCGGGCGAAGCUUUUCGCGCGCUUUCAUGUGUCGUCCCUGCUCGCCCCACAUGCACACCGCCCAGCCACCUCUCCCUUCUCUCUCCUGUGUUUUCUCGGUUUCAUUUAUUACGGGCUGCUGCUGCUCGCGUGGAGGUCAGCGGGAAAGCCAUUGAUCGAGCUCUUCCCCUUCCCUCCCUCACACCUCCUCCCACAUACACCGACACGGACACCUUGCCCUGUGUUCGAGCGCACGCAUCUCGGCUCUGUUGGUAGGUCUCCCAUCGCCUCCACCAGAGCCUGUUGGUUGCUCGCUGUGAACCGUCUCGCUUCUUCUUUUUCCCCUUUCGUCGUCGUCGUGCCUGCCUUCAACGACUCGCUCACACGCACUCCUGCAUCCAUUAUUCUUCCUCGUUUUUCUUACGUGUGUUUGUGUGUGCGUGCGAGUGCUCCUUCCUCGCUGGCAUCUCCAUCGCCACACGAAGGUUCAUCCUCUGAUCUUCCACCACGGACGUCUCCGAUCAGCGCGUCCUGCUAUAUUGCCGUUCUCGUGCGCUCGCUGCGGCUGGCGUCCCUCUCUGUCUCUAUCCCCCUCCUCCACCUGCAUGCGUGUGUUGUCCCUUUCACUGGCGUGGUGAACUCGGAGUGGCGCACGCGGCGACCGAAGCGAACACGCACACACGGGCAGAGGCAGACGUGUGUGUGUGUGCGUGUCUGUACAUAGCAUUCCUUCAGAAACAGUCAUCGCUGCCCGAACACCUACACAGACGUACGCACGCACACACAGCGCGUGCGCUCGCCAACCCCAAAACGUCUCUUUUCUUGGGGGAGAGGGGGAGGGGCGAAACCCGUUGCGGCAUCAUCCGGGGAGUAGACGGGAACGGAGGUAGCUGGUGCGCAGCUAUGGGCAACGAUUUGUCGACCAUGUCGGGUGGGGGCCGCAACCUUGAGGUCUGGGGUGAAGCGCGCGCCAGACGCGUCUCGAACGAGCUGCCGACCCCGCGCACCAUCCCUCUCGGUCAUGGGGACAAUCUCGUGCCACCGGCGCUGCUCCUGGACGCUGAGAUGCGCUCAGCCGCAGACGAAGCAAGUAGCACCUCCUCGUUGCGGUCUGCCGGCACGGUGUCGACCUACUCCACUCAGCACUCGGCACUUUCAAAGGCAAACCGAAGCCCGGAUCCACAGCCCCGGAGGCGUAGCAUGUCGAUGAGUGAUAUGACCGCUGCGACAGCCUUGCUGGCAGCCGCGGCGCCGUCACAGCAGCAGCAGCAGCAGCAGCAGCAGCGACAGCUGCAGAGGCGCGCGCAGUACUCCAUGUACGCUCGGCAGAUGCGGCGACCCGGCUGUGACGGGGGCCGGUACGGGUUGCAGCAUCACAACAGCGGCGUUGACUUCAUGGUCGCCAACGAGUUUUUCAACUGCAGCGACAGCACCCUUGGCAGCGAGGCGGAUCUCGAUAGCAGCAGUGGCAUCGGAAGCAGCGGUAGCGAUGGUAAUGAUGACGCAGGAGGGGUGCACCACCGUUGUGGCAUGGCACCAAGGGAGCCCACCUUGCCGUACGGUUCCGGCCGCCGCCUGACCGGCAAUGAGCUCUCCGCGCGUUCCCCGCGGCGUGGACGAAACGAGGUGGAUGGAGCGCCGGCCCUCGGCUCGACUGCUACGGCCGCUGCCGCCGCCUCUGCUACGUCGCCAGCGCACGCGAAGUCGAGCAGCACAGGCAGGGCAGAGACGAUAACGACGAAGGCCGUCUCCGUGGUAGUCUCCGGCGUCGACUGCAGCAGUGAUCCCCCUCCAGCUCUCACCAGCAGCCGCAACAGCAGCAACGGCAGUCACGACAGCAAGUCCUCGGCUGCGAGUGGGAAGAAAGGCGGUGUCACACCUUUGCCGUCGGCGAGGCAGGGCAAUUGGCACAAGCGGCUCUUGCGGCCCGUCUCACGAGGCAGCAUUCGUGAUGACGGCAUCAGCGGCAGCGCCACGCAGUGGGGCUCGCCUGACGCCGCCGAUGGUGCUCUCAGCUCGCACGAGGAAAAGAAGUGCAAGACGGGCAAGAGAAAGACGAGCAAGCCGAGAAUCCACCCGGAGGGACUCUUGGAGCUGAAGUUUCCGCAUCGCACGCGCAGCUCAGCAACAGCGCCGCGAACGUCGUCCGCGGCAGCCGGAACCGCGACCACCACGAUCGGUGUAGAGGCGCUGGUGUCGAGGAUGAAGCUGUCCACCACGAAGGAGUCGCCGAGCGUCGACGCAAAGCAGCGGCACACCAGUGGCGACCUCAGCGGCAGCACCGCGCCGGCUCUGUCGAAUGAGAAGCGUGGCGGCCAGUGCGACUCUUUCACGUGCGUGUCGUCCUCGCCAGCGCAGCAGCAUCACGCCGCCGGCAAGGAUGGCAGAGGUAAACCCGGCGCGAACCGCAGCAGCGACCCGCCUCGCUCGUCGGAGUCCCCGGCGCAUCAUCACAGCCGUCAAGUGCAACAUCAUCACUGCGGUGGAGACGAUGGAAGCAAUGCCGUUCCAGAGACGGUGUUGGCCAGCCUUGUAGAUUCAAAGUCGCACCAUCGCCAACCCAGACGCAACCGCAGCCUCGGUGGCAAGCUCGACCUGCACGACGAGAGCCCCAACGACUUCUUCGCUUCGACGCAGCGGAGCGGGCAGUACCGGAUGCUUUACCGAAUGGACAGCGAAAGCGGGAGCUCAACCGCCUCCAUGCGCGAGGCAGUGUGCAUGGCUACCGGCGGCGGCGCGGCGGCGGCGCACUCCUUUGGCAGCCUCUUCGCCGACUCGCGGGCCGCUUCGCUAUACUCGGUGUCGUCGUCGCCCGGGCAAGCGUGGACAGGUGACUACGCUGGCCGCGGAGUGAUGCAACUAACAGCCGCGGUGGAUCACCGCGCGCUGGACAUGCAGAAAGUCGACGACGUCGGGGGCACGAGUGAGGCCAGCCGGCAUCACCCUAGUCGUGGACUGCUCUGCAGCGGAAGCUGCACGGCCUGUGUGAAUAGCACAGGCACCUUUAACGCGACCUCGCAACCGCAGCAGGCGGAUCUGCAGCGCAAAAUAGAGAUGCACCUCCAGCGGAUGACCUACACGUCGAAGUCGCCCAGCCUCGUCACCAGCAACCAAGUCGUCUCUGUGAGGCCAGAGAAUAGCCAAGGUACCCGACACUCGCUGAUAUCUACGUUGCCGAUGCCUCUGAACGUCGGCGCCGCUGAAGCGCCUGCCAACCGCGGGCAGGUCGGCGCCGCCGCAGUGAUGCGUGAAGCGCUGUCGGCCGGUGCGUCAUGCCGUGACGGCCACGGCCACGUCCACACCGCCGCUAGCGUGAGCAUAUGCAGCAACGGUAGCGGCAGCUCUAGCUUCGGCUCGAGCAGCAGCGGGGAUCGCAGUAUCAGCCCUGACGUAAGUGUCAGAGAGCUCGUGAAGUCGUCUCGGGUGAAGCCGCCAGCCAAGGCAGAGUCGCCGCCGCUCCUGCCACAGCCACCCCCGCCACAGACGGCGGUGAUGCGGACCAAGACACAUAGCUUCCGAGGACACGGUGGCAGACGUGGACCCACGAACCUGUCCGCCACCGAAGGCUUGGCGGCGUCCGCGGUGUCGCCGAAGAGGCACAGCAGCUGCGCUGGCCGGCGGCAUCAUCACGGCAACGGUAGCAGCAACAGUGGCGACGCUCUGCACGCAACGGCGAGUGUCCUCACCUCGGUACAAGGCAGCUGCAGCGCGUUGCGGCCGACGCGGGCAGACAGCAAGGACCUCAUUCUCCGGCCCGACCGCACUGCCUCUGCACGCCGUCACCGCCGCGGUGGUGGCGAUGAGAACGCGCCGGAAGGCAGUGGCAGCCGUCAGCGGCACCCGCAGAACCGAAAACUUUCUUCCAGGACGCAUUUUACCUCUUUCAGCUUUAGUAGUGACAGCUUCCUAUACGGCAAGGUGCGUGGCCAUCUGGCGAAGGCGGCGGCAGUGGCUGCAAACUCGAGCAGCAUCGAGCGUCGGCGUCACGCGUCGGGCUGUGAAAGCAGCGGAGGCACGCAGGCACACGCGCGUCACCACGCUCACGGUGAAGUCGACUCGGUUGCGCUGGGGGCCUCCCCAUUCGCAUCAUCGCGCAAGGGCGAGGCCGAGUGUCGCCAUCGCGGCAGCGGGUGCGGCAAUGAGAGUGGGAUGGGCAGCGUGGUGGCUGACUUGGACGACCUCCUCCUCGGCGCCGAUGGCAGGGCCCCCUCUGGCAACCUGACGGCGCUCUACCCGCGCUCCGCCUCAUCAUCGUUGUCGCUGGCGCCAUCGUCCCGAAACAGCAGCACCAACGGCAGCUGCGUCAGCAGCGGCUCCGUGCGUGCGCUGCGCAAGAGGGCUGCGAGAGCGCGGGACCUGUCGGCCAGCUCGUCAGUCGACUCCGAGGCAAGCGGCCGCCUUCAUCCACAUUGGACAGCACCGCCGCUGCCCCAGCAGCAGCAGUAUGGAGCAGCUGGUGCGACGGCAACGGCGUCGUCAAUGUACCGACUGCCCCUCGUGAAGACGUCGAACAGCUGCGGUGGAGCUGUGGCCGCUAACGGAAGCGCGAGCAGCGCCGUGACCGGUGGAACGCGCGGCAUGAAGCUGCCAUCCUUUAAGCCGAACAUGGGCGUGGGCAUUAGCAACAGCCCUGACACGAGCAGCGGCCGCCCUGUGAACAUCAACUACGUUCUUCAGCCGCUGCGAAGCCCGGCGGCGAACGGCUCGGCAACGAUGGCAGCAGCGUCACCAGAGAUCCACAGCGUAGCCAAGAGCCACAGCACAUCCUCUGGCAGUGGCGUUGCCGCAGACACGUCGGGUGCGAUGCCGACGGUCCAUGGGCACGAAAAGGCGUCCUGGCAGCCCUCCAUGGUGCCCAAAGUGCCUUGCGCCCUCUUCAAUGGCAGUGGCAGCGGUGCGCACCUGCCACGAAUGCCGCCAGCAAGUUCGCCUCGACACGCCAGCAGCAAGAGAGACGGUGACACCGACUCCUUGACGGUGUCGUUCCCGGACGCCAACGGCCGUGGCGACGGUGGUAGUGGCGCUGCUGCGUCGUCCUCCGCGGCGUCGCUGUUGGCAGGGCCAUCCCGUGACUCGAGCGCGAAGCGACGUCGCCCCACGACGCAGAGUUUCACGCCGUGGUCUGUGGAUAUGAGUCGCUUCAAGGCGCUGCAAGAGGCGCAGGAGCCGCCGAGUUAGCGAGCGGCCUACACGCUGCUGCAAGCGGGGGUGGGGGUGAGGCUCACACGUAGGCGCCCUUUGCAGCCGUCACCGCGUUGCGGGUGUUUGAUUGGCUGCGUGAUGAGAGGAAAAGCCCCCGGGAAGCGGUGCUCGGACAUACACAAGCAACCACGCAUAUAUAUAUAUAUAUAUGUGUGUGUGUAUGUAUGUUUAUGUGCAUGUGUAUACAUAUAUGUGUAUAUGUGUUUGUGUCGUUCAUUUCCUUGUUGUCGUAGUCAUUGUCGCUGUAGCUCGUCUUCUUUUGGCCAUGCACUGUCAUCUGGAUUCCAUGGUCGGUGUGCGUGUUGCCGCUACAACGGAUGUGGGUGCCUGUGUAUCUCUGUAUACUGCAAUCCGCCACCGCCACCACCCUUUACAUGUACGUCGAUGAUGGACUGUGCCUGCGUGAAUGCGUCUAAAUCAAGAACGACGAUGUAGAGGAGCAUGCCGAUUCCAUCAACGGACCUCGCUCCCUCUCUCUCUUGUACGGGCCCCACCCACAGAUGCACACACACACACACACACACACACACACACACACGUGCGGGUGCACUCGUGUUCGCAGGCAUCAUUCAUACACUUUUCGUGUGUGUGUGUGUGUGUGCGCGCGCGCUUCAACCGUUUCUCAUGGAGCACAGAACCAAAAUGAAGAUUUGAGCGACACCAAAGGACGACGGCGACGCCGAUGUGUGUGGGGAGGGUGCAGGUCAGCCGGAGGAUGCGGUGUGUUGCGGCUCUUGUUGGGUUCCUUGUGGUAUGGGGGUGCGAGAGAGAGAGAGAGGGGGGGAUGUGGCAACGUGCCGCCGUUCAUCAUCGCUGCUGGUGCUGCUGUUCCGCACGACGCGGCAUGACAUGUGGGCACAUGUGGCCUGUUACUCUGUGAAAUGAAGUGUGCGUGAGCACCUACAAG
rnacentral:misc_RNA from 1 species